rnacentral:rRNA from 17 species
GCCCGAGUAAACGGCGGCCGUAACGAUAACGGUCCUAAGGUAGCGAAAUUCCUUGUCGGGUAAGUUCCGACCUGCACGAAUGGCGUAACGAUGGCCACACUGUCUCCACCCGAGACUCAGUGAAAUUGAAAUUGCGGUUAAGAUGCCGUAUACCCGCGGCUAGACGGAAAGACCCCGUGAACCUUUACUACAGCUUCACAGUGGACUUUGAUAUUACUUGUGUAGGAUAGCUGGGAGGCUUUGAAACUCUGUCGCCAGAUAGAGUGGAGCCAAUCUUGAAAUACCAGCCUGGUAAUAUUGAGGUUCUAACCUAGGUCCCUUAGCGGGAUCAGGGACAUUGUGUGGUGGGUAGUUUGACUGGGGCGGUCUCCUCCCAAAGAGUAACGGAGGAGCACGAAGGUACCCUCAGCAUGGUCGGAAAUCAUGCAAUGAGCGCAAGAGUAGAAGGGUGCUUGACUGCGAGAUAGACACAUCGAGCAGGUACGAAAGUAGGUUCUAGUGAUCCGGUGGUUCUGUAUGGAAGGGCCAUCGCUCAACGGAUAAAAGGUACUCCGGGGAUAACAGGCUGAUACCGCCCAAGAGUUCACAUCGACGGCGGUGUUUGGCACCUCGAUGUCGGCUCAUCGCAUCCUGGGGCGGUAGUACGUCCCAAGGGUUGGGCUGUUCGCCCAUGAAAGCGGUACGCGAGCUGGGUUCAGAACGUCGUGAGACAGUUCGGUCCAUAUCCGGUGUAGGCGUUAGAAUAUUGAGAGGAGCCUUCUUUAGUACGAGAGGACCGAGAAGGACGUACCUCUGGUGUACCAGUUAUCGUGCCAACGGUAAACGCUGGGUAGCUAUGUACGGAGUGGAUAACCGCUGAAAGCAUCUAAGCGGGAAGCCUCCCUCGAGAUAAGUUAUCAUAGAGUCGUGGAAGACCACCACGUUGAUAGGCUGGGUGUGGAAGUGCGGUAACGCAUGAAGCCAA